UUUCAAUCUUUUUUUGUUUGUUUAUCGCUUUUCAGUUUGGCCACUGCCCACUGCUUUUACUUUCACAGCCGAACUCACUUUUUGUAACAGUUAAAACUCCCAAUUCUAGGUGAAAAAACACAGAAAUCAUGGGGCCCGAUUUCCAGUCUCCAGCGUGAAUCUAGCCAAAGAAAGCUGAAAAAAAUAAAGACUUCUCCAUAGAUACUGCUCGUACAUGGGCAAUGGGAUAUAGAAUUCAACAGAGGGACCCCAUUUUAUAAUCUGCAAAAGUUGACAAAAAAUUACCAGCCCCCAUGGCCCAGACUAACCAAACCCAUCUCUCUCUCUCUUUCUAUCUGGUUUUUUUGACUGUACUCCCUCUGUGUGCUAUAAAGAACUGAAAUGUAUCUUUCUUUCCAGAUUCUCUCUGCAAAUCCUGAGCUUAUAUGCUUCCCUCUGUGAAGGUGUUUCUUGAGAAUCCUCAAAUAUUCUUUUAAAACCCUUUUUGCUCUCUUCCUUUCUAGAUAAGAACCUAUCCGAUCUUUUUCUUCUUGCCUUUAUAGCCACUUUUAUUUUUGUUUUCUCUCGCCUUGGCUUCUUGUGCAGCAAACACCACCAACACCACCCCCCCCCCACCCCAAGCCAACAUGGAUGAGUGGAAAUGGAGUGGUCAAAUUCCAGCAUUUGGAGACUGGGAGCACGCAAAUGAGAUGCCAAUAACACAGUAUUUCGAGUGUGCAAGACAAGCGGGCUUGAUUCGAUACACUUCCUCUGGAGAAUGUGAUCAAUACAUGCGUGGUGACUUAUAUGCUACCGAUUUCAAGAAACCUUCUCGUGAACUUGGUCCUCCAAGAAAGACAAGGCUGAGAGAGAGGAAAGUCCCACAUGGCAAGGAGCAGAAGAAACAAGGCAAAGUUUGUGACGUGACAGAACCGCCAAGGAAACAACAGCAGCAGCACCAGAAACCCAUCUCUGUGUACAAAGUGUCAGAAAAGAAAAAUGGAGUCUCAGUUCAUCCACGUCCUAAAUUGCCUGUUAGACCUCCUAAGCCAGUCGAUGAAGAUCUCUACAAAAUCCCUCCUGAGCUCCUCCGCUCUUCCAAGCGGGUCAGUUUCUCUCCUCCCUAUCUCUUUAAUCUAUGCACAACUUACAGUUGUUGAUGCGCUUAGUAGAAAAAUUAUUCCAUGAAGUCCUUGUUAAAUAUCCUAGUGCAGAGCUCAAGAAUAAAAUAGAAUGAGUUGUUUCCUUGGUGUUCCGUAAAAGGUAAGAAUAAAAUAAGAUGAAGAUGAUAAGAUAAGGAGAAAGACAUUUGCUGCCAGGUUAGGUAAUAUGGAUAGUGGGUGAGUGAGUCUGUAGAUUUCCAAUGAGGUUGAAAUUAGGCAGCUCUUGGUGGAUCCGUGUCAACCAAGGAAAUUGACUUGAGUGCACAAAAGGGUCCACAUAACUUUGUUAUAUGGUCGCAAUUGGCACUAGAAUUCAAAGCAAUUUACCAAUGAGUUUGAACCAGUAGCAAUAAAAAUAUCACUUUCUUGAAAUUAUUUUUUUUAUUUUACUCUUUUUUGUUCAAGUGAAAAUUAAAGCUUUAUUUUUUUGAAUGCAGAAGAAGAAGGUGACAGGUUUCCUUUCAUGCCUUGUGCCUGGCUGUGCUUCGUAAAUUAUGCAACCAUUCAAGAUGCUUUUGUCAAGAGACUCUUUUUAUGUGAAGAAGAAGAAGAAGAAGA
rnacentral:misc_RNA from 1 species